rnacentral:rRNA from 1 species
CCUACGGGGGGCAGCAGUGGGGAAUUUUGCGCAAUGGGGGCAACCCUGACGCAGCAACGCUGCGUGAGUGAUGAAGGCCUUCGGGUCGUAAAGCUCUGUCAGAGGGGAAGAAAUGCAGGUGGUGAACAACCAUUCUGUUUGACGGUACCCUCAAAGGAAGCACCGGCUAACUCCGUGCCAGCAGCCGCGGUAAUACGGAGGGUGCGAGCGUUGUUCGGAAUUAUUGGGCGUAAAGCGCGUGUAGGCGGUUUGUUAAGUCGGAUGUGAAAUCCCCGGGCUCAACCGGGGAAGGGCAUUGGAUACUGGCAGACUUGGGUACGGGAGAGGAGAGUGAAAUUCCCAGUGUAGGAGUGAAAUCCGUAGAUAUUGGGAGGAACACCGGUGGCGAAGGCGGCUCUCGGGACCGAUACUGACGCUGAGACGCGAAAGCGUGGGGAGCAAACAGGAUUAGAUCCCCUUGUAGU